GGGAAGCGCGCACCGGAGCUAAUACCGGAUAUGACAUACGGCCGCAUGGUCUGUGUGUGGAAAGAUUUAUCGGUCAAGGAUGAGCUCGCGGCCUAUCAGCUUGUUGGUGGGGUAAUGGCCCACCAAGGCGACGACGGGUAGCCGGCCUGAGAGGGCGACCGGCCACACUGGGACUGAGACACGGCCCAGACUCCUACGGGAGGCAGCAGUGGGGAAUAUUGCGCAAUGGGGCCGGCGCGAAAGCCUGACGCAGCGACGCCGCGUGAGGGAUGAAGGCCUUCGGGUCGUAAACCUCUUUCAGCAGGGAAGAAGCGAAAGUGACGGUACCUGCAGAAGAAGCACCGGCUAACUACGUGCCAGCAGCCGCGGUAAUACGUAGGGUGCAAGCGUUGUCCGGAAUUAUUGGGCGUAAAGAGCGGCCUCGUAGGCGGUCUGUCGCGUCUGCUGUGAAAACUCAGGGCUUAACCCUGAGCUUGCAGUGGGUACGGGCAGACUAGAGUGCGGUAGGGGAGACUGGAAUUCCUGGUGUAGCGGUGAAAUGCGCAGAUAUCAGGAGGAACACCGGUGGCGAAGGCGGGUCUCUGGGCCGUAACUGACGCUGGGNNGNGAGGAGCGAAAGCAUGGGGAGCGAACAGGAUUAGAUACCCUGGUAGUCCAUGCCGUAAACGUUGGGCGCUAGGUGUGGGGACCUUUCCAUGGUUUCCGUGCCGCAGCUAACGCAUUAAGCGGGCGCCCCCGCCUGGGGAGUACGGCCGCAAGGCUAAAACUCAAAGGAAUUGACGGGGGCCCGCACAAGCGGCGGAGCAUGCGGAUUAAUUCGAUGCAACGCGAAGAACCUUACCAAGGCUUGACAUGGGGUGGGCGCCGCAAAACUCGCAGAGAUGCGGGGUCCGCAAGGGCGCCUCACAGGUGGUGCAUGGUUGUCGUCAGCUCGUGUCGUGAGAUGUUGGGUUAAGUCCCGCAACGAGCGCAACCCUCGUUCUAUGUUGCCAGCACGUUAUGGUGGGGACUCAUAGGAGACUGCCGGGGUCAACUCGGAGGAAGGUGGGGGGCGCGACGACGUCAAAUCAUCAUGCCCCUUAUGUCUUGGGCUUCACGCAUGCUACAAUGGCCAGUACAAAGGGCUGCGAGACCGUAAGGUGGAGCGAAUCCCAAAAAGCUGGUCUCAGUUCGGAUCGGGGUCUGCAACUCGACCCCGUGGGCCGCAAGUCGGAGUCGCUAGUAAUCGCAGAUCAGCAACGCUGGGCCGGCGGUGAAUACGUUCCCGGGCCUUGUACACACCGCCCGUCACGGGCCGCGUCGCA
rnacentral:rRNA from 1 species